UACAGAGGGUGCGAGCGUUGUCCGGAAUCACUGGGCGUAAAGGGCGCGUAGGCGGCCCGGCGCGUCCGCGGUGAAAGCUCCCGGCUCAACUGGGAGAGGUCCGCGGAAACGGUCGGGCUGGAGCAAGGUAGGGGGUCGUGGAAUUCCCGGUGUAGUGGUGGAAUGCGUAGAGAUCGGGAGGAACACCAGUGGCGAAGGCGGCGACCUGGACCUGUGCUGACGCUGAGGCGCGAAAGCGUGGGGAGCGAUCCGG
rnacentral:rRNA from 1 species